CCGAGUUUACAACUCCCAAACCCAAUGUGAACCAUACCAAACUGUUGCCUCGGCGGGGUCACGCCCCGGGUGCGUCGCAGCCCCGGAACCAGGCGCCCGCCGGAGGGACCAACCAAACUCUUUUCUGUAGUCCCCUCGCGGACGUUAUUUCUUACAGCUCUGAGCAAAAAUUCAAAAUGAAUCAAAACUUUCAACAACGGAUCUCUUGGUUCUGGCAUCGAUGAAGAACGCAGCGAAAUGCGAUAAGUAAUGUGAAUUGCAGAAUUCAGUGAAUCAUCGAAUCUUUGAACGCACAUUGCGCCCGCCAGUAUUCUGGCGGGCAUGCCUGUCCGAGCGUCAUUUCAACCCUCGAACCCCUCCGGGGGGUCGGCGUUGGGGACCUCGGGAGCCCCUAAGACGGGAUCCCGGCCCCGAAAUACAGUGGCGGUCUCGCCGCAGCCUCUCCUGCGCAGUAGUUUGCACAACUCGCACCGGGAGCGCGGCGCGUCCACGUCCGUAAAACACCCAACUUCUGAAAUGUUGACCUCGGAUCAGGUAGGAAUACCCGCUGAACUUAAGCAUAUCAAAGGCCCGGAGAAA
rnacentral:rRNA from 1 species